UUACAGCCAUAACACAUUGAAAACCCUGGUUCUCAUACGAUCACCAAAGUUAAGCAACAUCAAGCCUGGCCUGUACUUAGAUGAGUGACCACUUUGUAAUACCAAGUGCUAUA